UACGUAGGCGGAAAAUUAAGUCAGUAGUGAAAUCCUGCAGCUUAACUGUAGAACUGUUAUUGAUACUGGUUUUCUUGAAUAUAGUUGAGGUAGGCGGAAUGUGUAAUGUAGCGGUGAAAUGCUUAGAUAUUACACAGAACACCGAUUGCGAAGGCAGCUUACUAAGCUAUGAUUGACGCUGAGGUAUGAAAGCGUGGGGAGCGAACAGGAUUAGAUACCCUGGUAGUC
rnacentral:rRNA from 1 species